rnacentral:rRNA from 1 species
GACGAACGCUGGCGGCGUGCCUAAGACAUGCAAGUCGAGCGGGGCCCGCAAGGGUCCAGCGGCGAACGGGUGAGUAACACGUGGGUAACCUGCCCGGCUCAGGGGGAUAACAGCUCGAAAGGGCUGCUAAUACCGCAUAUGCUCACGGUCCCGCAUGGGGCAGGGAGGAAAGGCGGCGCGAGCUGCCGGAGCCGGAGGGGCCCGCGGCCGAUUAGCUAGUUGGUGGGGUAACGGCCCACCAAGGCGACGAUCGGUAGCCGGCCUGAGAGGGUGUUCG